UACGAAGGGGGCUAGCGUUGCUCGGAAUCACUGGGCGUAAAGGGUGCGUAGGCGGGUUUUUAAGUCAGAGGUGAAAUCCUGGAGCUCAACUCCAGAACUGCCUUUGAUACUGAAAGUCUUGAGUAUGGGAGAGGUGAGUGGAACUGCGAGUGUAGAGGUGAAAUUCGUAGAUAUUCGCAAGAACACCAGUGGCGAAGGCGGCUCACUGGCCCAUUACUGACGCUGAGGCACGAAAGCUGGGGGAGCAAACAGG
rnacentral:rRNA from 1 species